AGCGAACGCUGGCGGAAUGCUUAACACAUGCAAGUCGAACGGAGUGCUUUCGGGCACUUAGUGGCGGACGGGUGAGUAACGCGUGAGGAUCUGCCUUCAGGAUGGGGACAACAGUUGGAAACGGCUGCUAAUACCCGAUAUGCCUAUGGGUGAAAGGAUUAAUUGCCUGAAGAUGAGCUCGCGUCCGAUUAGCUAGUUGGUGGGGUAGAGGCCUACCAAGGCGACGAUCGGUAGCUGGUCUGAGAGGAUGAUCAGCCACACUGGGACUGAGACACGGCCCAGACUCCUACGGGAGGCAGCAGUGGGGAAUCUUGGACAAUGGGGGCAACCCUGAUCCAGCCAUGCCGCGUGGGUGAUGAA
rnacentral:rRNA from 1 species